ensembl:snoRNA
GGGACCAGUGAUAACUACUGGUGACGUAUGAGUCAAGGAUGAUGACUAUCUCUGAAACUCCGAGGUCCAC